GAAAGACGCGCAAUUAUCAUCAUCAUCCCUAUUUAGAGAUGUUUCUUUGGCCACAUUGACUGUGGCCUUUU
rnacentral:sRNA from 1 species